rnacentral:rRNA from 1 species
CCAAUAGCGUAUAUUAAAGUUGUUGCAGUUAAAAAGCUCGUAGUUGAAUUUCGGGAUUAAUUUACUGGUCGUGCUAUUGUACGUACUGGUUUUAUUGAUUCCUCCCUUCUGACGAACUAUGAUGCCAUUAAUUUGGUGUCAUAGGGAAUCAGGACUGUUACUUUGAAAAAAUUAGAGUGUUUAAAGCAGGCUCACGCUUGAAUACAUUAGCAUGGAAUAACGGAAUAGGACGUUUGAUUCUAUUUUGUUGGUUUCUAGGAUCGACGUAAUGAUUAAUAGGGAUAGUUGGGUGCAUUAGUAUACAAUUGUCAGAGGUGAAAUUCUUGGAUUUAUUGAAGACUAACUACUGCGAAAGCAUUUGCCAAGGAUGUUUUCAUUAAUCAAGAACGAAAGUUAGGGGAUCGAAGACGAUCAGAUACCGUCGUAGUCUUAACCAUAAACUAUGCCGACUAGGGAUCGGAUGAUGUUAAUUUUUUAAUGACUCAUUCGGCGCCUUACG